rnacentral:lncRNA from 1 species
CUUUUUACAAACUCAUAAUUUUUCUUUCUGUACAGGAUUAACAGUGACAGAUGAUACGAAUCACUCCAUCGAGGGGCCCAACAACUGAUCCAAUAUCAUAUAGAGAAGCCCAACAACUAAUCCAACAUUGCAUUGAGAGAUUUAACAACCGAUCCAACAUCAUAUCGAGAGUCCCAACUGUCGAUCCAACAUCAUAUCGAGAAGCUGUUGGAGGGGCCCAACAACUGAUCCAAUAUCAUAUAGAGAAGCCCAACAACUAAUCCAACAUUGCAUUGAGAGAUUUAACAACCGAUCCAACAUCAUAUCGAGAGUCCCAACUGUUGAUCCAACAUCAUAUCGAGAAGCCCAACAGCUGAUCCAACAUUGCAUUAAGAGGCCCAACGACUGAUCCAACAUUACAUUGAAAAGCCCAAUCAUUGAUCCAACAUAAUAUCGACAAGCCCAACAGCCGAUCCAAUACUACAUCAAGAUACCCAACAACCGAUCCGACAUCAUAUCGAGAAGUCCAACAACUGAUCCAAUAUCACACUGAGAGGCCCGACAACUGAUCUAUCAAUACAAUAGAUAUGCUUUCUUUACCGUCACAUUUACUUUAUGUUUUAUCAAUUGCUUAUCAUUUACAUGCCCUAACCUUAUUAUUUAGUAUACUGUAAAGUACACAGGUAACUGAGAAGGAGUAACAAUCAGGAACAAUUUUCGCUCCUACUUUCGAAGUAUCACCCCAUUUAUUCACUCGUCAUGAAAACAUAACUUGAAACUCUAAUCCUAUUUUUUAUUUCAUACCUCUCAACCCAUCGUUGUUUCAAUUUUGUUCAUUGCAAUUUUACCAACCCGCGAUAUUGUUACUGAUGGUCGCCCUUUACCAUUGUCAUUCUUUAGGAAUCUCAUUCGUUCCUAAAUCCAAAACUACACACGGCCCGAUUCUCGUAAAACCUGAGAUAUGUAGGAGACAUAAACAAAAAUCUCGACCAUGAGACAUAAACAAAAGUCUCAACCUCAUUAUUUUUAAAACCACCUCUUGUUGCUUUAAUUCCAAUGAACGAUUCUCUCGGUCAAAUAAAAUUGAUUACUACGUCAACUUUCAUUACUCGACAAUUCAUUUAUCAUUCUUAAGCAACGAAGGGGCAGCUGUUGACACCCAAUAUUGACCUCUCAAUACUCUUCUUAAAUAUUAUUAUUUUUUGCGCAUUAUUUUAGUAUCAAAUAAAAUUUUAACGUAUAACAUUCAUGAUUUAUAAAUAUGCACUUUAUCUUAUCAAGUGCUUUUAUAUUUUUUAUAGCAUAUAUAAUUUAAAUAUAAUAUUUUAUAUAAUUUUGUCAAUAUUUACUAAAUUAUUUUCGCAAAUAUGCACUCAUAAUUAACAAAAACAUUGGUUAUUAUUAUUAUUAUUAUGUGUAAUGGUAUAAUAAUUUAGUAUUUCUUUCCUACACUUAGUAAUUUAGUAGUUAACUAUGGUAGAACUUUAUUUAAUCCAAAACAAGUUUAUAAUUAAAAAUUCAAAUUUGAAUUUUUUUAAAAUCUUCCCAUAUCCUCCUAAAAUCUUUUCUUUAGGUAUAAGGUUAUUUUUUUCUCAAAAUCAUUUCAAAUUAAUUUUACAUAUGUUAUUUUUACUCCCUCCAUAUCCAUAAAAUCUUUGGAAGAAAUCAAAUAUUUUUUAUUACAGUAAAGAAUAUUAUUUUCCCAAGAUAAGGCUUCUUAUCAUUCUUUUUAUCAUUCUUUUAAAUGAAAAGAUAUUUCGUGUCUAUUUUUAACUCCCUCAAAUAUUCUCUCUCUAAAAUUUCUCUCUCCUUUUUCUCUAGAAAUCUCAGCUGCAGUUUCUAAGCUGCUAUGGCCUCAACGUCCGGUGGGUCUAUCCCACCGGUGAUUAUACCUGCAAAGGAAGAUCAAAGUAACUUGAGUCAAGAAGAAAGGAAUUUGAAACCUAUGUAUGCUAAUAUACUGAAACCUCGUAUGGUGGAUAAUAGCAAGUAACGAAUAGUGCCUAAAAAUAUUCAGAUUAUUGAAGGAGAACCACAUAUUAUAUGGAAAACACCAGAGAUCAACAAUUUGAUAAUACAAGAAAACUUACAAUAUGCAGUAAUAGGUAAGUUUUCUUAUGGUAAACUUUACAUUAGUGAGUUUAGGAGAAAUAUACCAAAUCAGUGUGGUAUUAAAGGCGUUGUAAUACAGGGGUUUUGGAUUCAAGACACAUUCUUAUCAGGUUUAGUAUGGAGGAUUAUGUAAACAUUAUAUCUAAUUCAGUAUAUUACAUAAAGGGAAAGGAGAUGCAAUGGCAGAUGAGGACUCUUAAAUGGGAUCCGUGGUUUGAACCUGAUGUGGAAACAACAGUUAGUAUAGCCUGGAUAUCAAUGCCUGAUCUUCCACCUAACUUUUUUGCAAAGGAAGCAAUAUUUUCAAUCGCUGUAGCAGUUGGAAAACCUUUAUCAGUGGAUAUGGCAACAAAAAAUCAGACACGACCAAGCUGUGCAAGAGUUAAGGUAGAGGUGGAUCUGCUAGCCGAAUUACCUCGAAGAGUGAAAAUAUGUGAAGAGAAUGACGUAACAGGGAUGAAGAAGUCUAAAUGGAUAAAUAUUCAAUAUGAUUACAAGCCCAAAAAUUGUAAAGAUUGUUGUCUUUAGGGUCAUAAUGAGCAAUAAUGUUGGAUUAUUCAUCCAGAACUAUAUGAAUAUCAGAAGAAAGUGCAAGAUGAAAACAGCAAGACUAAUUACAAGGGGGUGGAAAUCAAAAAGAGGGAACAACAGAACUAUGGAAGAAGAAAUGCAAGGAAAUUCACCAAACAAUGGUUAGCUAGAAUGAAUAAGUACAAAAGGGACAAACAUGGUCACAUAGUGGGUGAAAUAGAAGUAGACAACAUAGUAGAUGGUAAAGUUCCAAUUACAAAUGCAUUUACAGCUGUGUCUCUGGAACAACAGACAGAAGAAAAUGGGGAUAAGGUGAAUGAAAAUAAAGGCGACAAUGAAAGGCAAAGCACAAAGGAAUAGGUCUUGAAUAGUUUCUCUGACACCACAAAAGAAAAAGAAUAUAUCAAUACCCAACAGAUUUUCGAGAAAAGAAAGGAAACAGGAGUGCAGGAAAUAGAAGAGAAGGAAAAUCAUAAAGAACAAAAGGAGUUUGUAACAAUAGACAACUUGGAUGUUAGAGGGGAUGAAAGCCAGAUUACGCAGCAACAGCAAAAUAGUAAUAAUGAUAAUAUGCAGAUGGUAAUUUUUGAUGAGAAAAAUGUACAGGAUAGAUUGAUAGAGAAUGUUUUACCAGUAGCAAUACAAGUGGAAAAUCAGGUGGAGUUUUGUAACAAGGAGAAACUGUCUUUAGAUGAAGGAUAUUUAAGUAAUGAAAUAGAAAAGGUUGGAAGAGAAGGCAAUCUAUCUCCCAGGAAAAUGGAGCAGAUGAGAAUAAAGCAGGGUGAAAGAAGAAAGGAGGACAAAGGGGUGAACUUUGGCUAAUAAUCUAACAAUGCAGACAAGAAGUUCCUUGAAAAAUAAGUCUAAAUGAAUGCUCUUAUAUGGAACAUUAGAUCAGUGAAUACUCAGAAAGCAUUCACUAGACUCAUAACAAUGCAGAAAAGACAUCAAUUCUCCUUCAUAGGGGUGUUAGAACCAUUUCAGGAUAAUGCCAUCAUAGAAGAUUAUAAGAAGAGAUUAGGAAUGAAGUUUGCAGCAGCCAAUCAUACAGGCAAGAUUUGGGUGAUUGUGGAAGAUAUUGUUGAAUGUACAGUAAUUAAGGAUGAAGAACAACAACUGACUGUAGAGUUAGUUAAUCAGCAGAAUCAUAUUCAGAUGGUGGUGACCUUAGUUUAUGCUAAAUGUUCACAGCAAGAUAGACUGGUUUUGUUGGAUCCCUUGGAGGAAUCAGCACAAACGAUGCAAAAUCCUUGGGUAGUAGGGGCGAUUUUAAUGUCAUAGUGAAUGAUGAAGAAAAGUUAGGUGGUUUACCUGUGAUAGUGGCAGAAACUGAAGAUUUCACUCAUUGUAUUAAUUUGUGCAGGCUAGAAGACAAAGGUUUAAAAUGUAGUAAAUUUAUGUGGUGGAAUGGUAGAACUGAGGGGGACUGUAUAUUCAAAAGAUUGGAUAGGGUUAUGUACAAGGAUAAAGUAUAUAACCUUUUUCCACUAUUAGAGGUGGAACACUUUGUGAGAAGUGGCUCUGAUCAUUGUCCCUUAAAGAUUCACUUUAGCACCACUACAGAACAUAUUUGUAAACCUUUUAGGUUUCUUAAUAUGUGGUUGAAAGAAAAAGGUUGUUUGGAGGUAAUCAAGGAAAACUGGCAUAUAGAAGUUUCUGGGAACCCUUUCAUUUUGUUUCAUCAGAAAAUGAAGAAAGUGAAAAAUGCCUUAACAAAAUGGAGUAAAGAGCACUAUGGUAACAUUUUUCAUGAGAUAGCUACUAUAGAGGAAGACAUUAAAGUUAAGGAAAAAUAGUUUGAAGAAAUUCCCAAUGGCUGUAACAGGGAAACUCUUUUUCAAGGCAUAAGCUGAGCUGAAUAUCCAACUGAAAAAGGAAGAAGAUUUUUGGAGACAGAAAGCUGGACUAUAAUGGUUCAAGGAUGGGGAAAGAAACACUUAAUUCUUUCAUUCUAUAGUAAGAGGAAGAAGAAGUAUGCUGAAGAUAAAUAGAAUUCAAAAUGAAGAGGGAGAAUAGAUAGAGGACCAACAGAAAAUAGUAGAUGAAGCAGUCAGGUUUUUUCAGAAUCUAUUUUCUAAGGAAGAUGAAAACACAAACUUUGACAUGCUAGAUGUACUGCCUAUAGUUAUUUCAGAAGAACAGAAUGAGGAUUUACAUAGACUUCCUGAUCUGAUAGAAAUAAAACAGGCAGUAAUGGGGUUAAGUAGAACUAGUGCAGCAGGUCCAGAUGGUAUGACAAGUGCUUUUUUUCAGGAUGCAUGGGAAAUUAUAGGUCCUGAUAUUUACAACAUGGUUGUUGCUUUCUUUUGUGGAUAUGAGCUUCCUAAAUUUGUCACUCAUACAAAUUUAGUACUCUUACCUAAAAAGGUAGUAGUCAACACUUUUUCAGAUAUGAGACCUAUAUCUUUAAGUAAUUUCUUGAAUAAGAUAUUUUCAAGAAUUCUUCAUGAGAGGAUCAAGUUAGUGUUACCAGAUAUAAUCUCUGAGGAACAAGCAGGUUUUGUGCAGGGCAGAAGUAUAAUAGAAAAUAUUUUGAUGGUGCAAGAAAUAGUAGCAGAUAUCAGAAAAAGAGAUAAAAUCCCAAACUUGGUCAUUAAAUUGGAUAUGAUGAAGGCUUAUAACAGAGUUGUUGGUUGUUCCUUACUAAAGUGUUAAGAAAAGUUGGGUUUGGGGAAAGGCUUAUUGACACGGUUUAUAGACUGGUAGGUAACAAUUGGUAUUCUAUUUUAUUAAAUGGAUAGCCAAAAGGUUUCUUUAGGUCUACUAGAGGGUUGAAACAAGGGGAUCCCCUGUCAUCUGCACUGUUUAUUAUUACAGCUGAAGUUAUGCCCAGGACCCUGAAAUCUUUGAUGCAAUCAAAGGAGUUCAAGAUGUUUGGAUUACCAAGAGGUAGUCCAAAGAUAAACAACUUUGCAUUUGUAGAUGAUAUGAUAAUAUUAUGCAAAGCAGAACUUCAUACAAUACAGCUGGUGACAAAUACUUUGGAGAGAUAUGAAAAAACAUCUGGACAAAAAGUCAAUAAGAAAAGGAGUUCCUUAUAUCUUCAUAAAGGUGUUUCUCAAGGGGUUGUGAUAUUGGCUGAGGUGGUUACUGGAAUUAUCAAAAAGGAUUUUCCACUCACUUAUCUGGGUUGUCCUAUCUUUCAUAUUAGAAAGAAGAAAGACUAUUACCAGACAAUGAUGAGCAGAAUUAGUGGAAAAAUGCAAGGAUGGAAAGGAAAGUUAUUGUCUUAUGGAGGAAGGGAAGUUCUUAUAAAGUACGUCUUGUAAAGUAUUCCUAUUCAUUAUUUAUCAGUCAUGAACCCUCCUAAGAAUGUAACGACUACAAUUGAAAAAAUGUUUGAACAAUUUUUUUGUAGUCAUAUAGGAGGUAAAAAUAGGCAUUGGGUGAAAUUGAAUAAGCUUUGUUUACCAGAAGAAGAAGGUGGCCUCAAAUUCAGAAAGAUACAAGAUGUUUCAAUGGCUCUGUUCUGAAAACUUUGGUGGAAUUUCAGAACCAAAGACCCCAUUUGGAGUUGAUAUAUACUGAAUAAAUACUUUAAGAAACCACAUCCUAAUGAAGUGGUUUGGAAACAAGGAGCAGGUUCACAGGUUUGGAAGAAAAUGCUUCAAGCAAGGGAUUUGGUGGAACAUCAGAUAUUUUGGAGGAUCAGAAAAGGAAAUUCCAAUAUUUGGUUAGAUAAUUAGAUCAAGAAAGGAGAUAUAUAUAAUAUAUUGGAAACUACAAGAGAGAAGGAAACCGAGUAUCAGAAGGUGCAGGAUUUUAGUUAAUCAAGGUCAAUGGAAAAUGCAUGCUAUUGCUCACUUGUUCUCAGCAGAGGUGGUAGACCAUAUAAUACAGAAUAUCAGAAUCCUCACCCACUCAGAGGAGAAGAAAAUUCCUAUAUGGAAAUUGGAGUAAGCAGGUUAUUUUACAGUAAGUUCAGCAUGGAAUUACCUAUGACAGAGAGGGGAAGUAAUAGCUUAUAUAAAAAAAUAUGGGUCAAAUGCAUGCCUUUCAAGAUGGCAUUUCUAAUGAGGAGAAUGUGGAGAGGAAAGAUUGCGGUAGAGGAAAAUAUGAAAAGAUGGGGUAUAGCAGGUCCUACAAGAUGUUGGUGUUGCACUGUACAGGGUCAAGAAACUCUUUCACAUGUACUGCUCAGAUCUAUUAGUGCUAACAUGACUUGGUCCUAUUUUUCUUCUUUUGUAGGUAUUAUCUUGAAUGGACAAAAUCUAAGGGAGUUAAUCCUACAAUUGAUCAAGGAAGAGCUAAACCUUACUAUCAAGCUAUUCCUAGUAUGAUAAUAUGGGAGUUAUGGAAGAGGAGAAAUUCUUCAAAAUAUGAAGGGAAAUUACUGUCUACCCACAAAGUGAUCUUCAUUAUCACUAGAAAUAUUGUAUUAUUACUUAAUGUGAGGAAUCCUAGACAAGUAUUCCCUUCUAAGUUGCCAGAUAUUCAGAGGUAAUUGGAAAGAAGAAGAAUGCAGAUUCAGUUCACAAAAGUGGAGUGGAAAUUUCCUAGUAGAGGUUAGUUAAAGUAUAACACUGAUGGAGAAUCUAGGAGCAACCCAGGGAUUACUUCAUGGGCAUACUGUCUAAGAGAUGAAAUGGGUGAUCUAAUACAAGCAGAAGGAGAAACUAUGGAUGUUUCUACUAAUAGUGAAGCAGAUGCUCAAGCUAUUCUAAGGGCAGCAAUUCAUUGUAGACAAUCAAAUCUUAACAAUAUCAUCAUUCAAACAGAUUCGAUGCUUAUGUUCAAAGUAUUAAAAAAUGACUGGCAAUGUCCAUGGGCAUUAAUAGACAUUAAAGAGCACAUUCUCAAAUUAUAGCAAGCAACGGAGGUUAAGUUCAUGCAUAUUUUGAGGGAGGGUAAUCGCUAGCGGACUACUAUGCAAAUCUAGCAACAGAUGAAGGAAAUUUUAAUGCAAACUCUUUUAAGCAGCUAGAUAGCAAAGCAAGGAGAAUUUUAAAUAGCGACAAGAUGCAGUUUCCUUAUAUUAGAGUUACAUCGAGAAAAGGAAGGUAGAGGAGAUGCACAAAAUUGAAGAAUGUACUUUCUAUAAGUGCAAUGUCAGAAUACAUCUUGUAGUCUUAACAAUAUCAAGGGAUACAAGGUUGUCCUCACUAUACGUUCACCUGGGAGUCAAUUUCAUGGAAAACUUUCAACCUUAUCUACACCAGCAAGAAGAUUUCUCAGUUAACACAAAAGAUGUUUCAUGACAACAUUAACCAUAAUCGUACAUUAAUAACUUGGGCUUCCAAGCAGGACCAGGGUCUAGAAGUAACAAAAGUGCAGCAACCUGAUCCUUUAAUCCUAUACAUAAAAGAUAUCAGCUGAUUUACCUUCAAACGUUCUCCAAUCAUCAAGAACUGAAAUUCCAAAGCAGCUCAAUGGGGAAUCUUACAGGGGAAUCAAGUUACAAGAGACAGAACCAGGCAAAUAAUUGAAAAUCCACAAUGAAAGCUCCUCAAAUGGACGAAUCAGCAUAUUAACCGCUAUCAAUAUUCUCUUGAAUUUGAGACCUUUAGACAGAAUUCGAAAGUACAAAAUGAAUUAGGAAACCCUUCUGUUUAUUUUAAUUGGAUGAAGAAAUGGGUUUGGGCCAUAACAACGGAUCCACAGAUUUAUUUUAUUUGGAUUGUUUUGGCCCAAUACAUGUAAUAUUAUUUUAAUUUGAUUGAUUAAUAAAAUCCAUAUUAAAAUAAAAAAAAUUUAACUCCCUCAUCAACGUCUAUUUUUUCUCCCUACAUAUACAUGGACAAAAAAAGAAGGCUGGCAGCGGUAAGGGCACAAGUAUAAGAAAAUCAAAGGCAUUAGCAGUAAUUGAGGAUAGUUACCGUAGCAUUCUUCCUCUUCAAUAGUUUUCCUCUAAUGCCCAAAACAGCCAUGAGAAGUCUUUUUUUUAUCAUUCUAUUUUCAUUUUUAUCCACUAGUAAAAUAGCAAUAAUUCUCAUACCAUUCUUGGACGUGAAUCCAUAGUGAUACAAAAGAUCAAACUUAUAACAAGGAAUCAAGAGAACAACAUCACUAGAGAAUCAAAGGCCCCACUCAGCUUCUCUAGGUUUUCUAGGCAACAACGACAAUAUUCAACAAGAUAAAUAAAUAACACAAGAUUGCAAUAACUAUAGUGAAUCGAAAGAGCCCCACACUGUUUUACUACAUCAAGAUACAAAUAACAAGAUUACAAAAUGAUGGAUAGUAACUUGACACAAAAUAUCCUAGAAUCUAAGAACCCUAACAUGAAGAUUAGGACCCUAAGACUAAAAGAUAUUUACACCAAAUUCUUACUUGAAUCAAGAGGAACUCGUGAA